CCAGCUUCAUCAAUUCCCAUACAACAUGGUUCAGACUUGGCCAUAUCUGGCACUAGUGAGUUCAUAUCAAAUGUUCCCCCUGAAUUUUUGUGAAAUUCGUCUAAAUUGAUAUAUUUGUUGUUCACUUCGCUUGCUUUUUCUUCUUCCAUUGUAAGCUAGAAAGUAAUUUUGAAACAAAAACUGUACAAUAUAAAAUUUCAAGUAAACAAAUUAAAAAACAUGGACGAAUU
rnacentral:lncRNA from 1 species